GUUACCUGCUGAGUUUUGUAGGGGCUGCUUAGGAAGCAUGGGUAUAUGUGUUUCAAAUAUUAUUUCACUGUAGAGUGCCAGACAGUGUGAAUCUGGGACAAUUUUUCUCGAAUUCAGCAUAGUACUGGCAUACACAGGAGAAGAUUUGACCCUAAGUUCUAUGCUGAGAUUUAUAUUUGAAAAAUACAGAAACAAAAAAAGCCCAGUUAUAAUCUUAUUUAGACCAGACUAAUUCCAUUGGCUUUCGUAGAUUUGUUCCUGACUAGCAGAGUUGUUCCUGAGAUUUGAAAGAAAGCCUGGAGUGCCACUUAGCAUUGAAAUCCUUCUUGUUAUAUUACAUUUCCUUGGAAAAUUGCAUCAAGUCUGUUCUUGCUUAAGUCACUCCCAGAAAGAAAAUCUCUGCUGCAGAACUGUGGUUACAGACCCAUAACGUUAAUAAAAACAAAUGCAAGAGUAUAGCAAUACCAGUUCCAUCUGGGAAAAUUGUUGGGUUCAUCUGCUCAGUCAACACAAAGGAGUCUGUGAGUCCAUUAUCAGACUGAGUGACACUGCACAAGGCACAGAAAUGGGAUGUUCCAGAAGCUCUGGCUCUGCAUGCUACCAGCAUCGCUGGCUCAACAUCUUUCACAUGGCAGAAGCCAUGAAAAACUCAUUUUAAGGACCAGGCUAUUACGCAACGGCCUUGGUUGCAUCAGCACAGCGAGGAAAGCACUGCAGGAAGGGGGACUAAAAGCUGAGGCUCUGCACCUGCAAGGCAGUGGCAGGGCAGGAGCAGAGCCACUGACUCCAGGUGGGAGAGCUGUGGGCUCAGGGCAGCCUGAGUUCCCUGCAGCAUGAUCCACCCCGCUGUCUGUCAUGCCUCCAGCGUUCCAGGGACACAAGCUGUCUUUCAAAAGGAGUGGCAGACUCUAAAAAUGAAUUGGUCCUGGCAGUAUGGCUGUAUUGUCUCAUUUUCCACUCUGCCUCCAAAGGCGAAAUCCAGAUGAAAAAGAGUGGAAAAAAAUAUAAAGCAGCAUUACAAAUGGCGUUUCCACUGUCUGCUUCAGUGACUCCAGUGGAGUUGCAAACAGGACCAUUGCUUCAUGUGAACGGAUGGAACUGGCCAAAUCAGUGCAUGCAGUCAUGUGGCCACCUCUGCUGUAGGAAAACUACCACAUCAUGUCAAUUGAACGUAUCAUGAAGGACAUCAGAGAUCACAUUUGGACAAUUCCUGGCAGAAGCUCACUCAGAUGUUUGUGCUGAAGCUGCACAAACACUUCUCUUGCAGCACUGCAGCAGGGAGCUUCUGUAUGGACAAAAAGCAAAAGGUCCUGCAGAGCUGAGUGACUGCUGGAGCAGAGGCAAGCAUGCUGCAUGGUGCAGCUACUCCUUGUUUGGAUUGUAAAGGCUCCCAGAAGCAACUUAUCAAACCUGGUUUUAGGGAAAGUGCAUUUUCUUGGAGCUUCUGAUUGACACCAUAAGAUCCUUCAGAUCACGCUGUUUGGUGGUGCUAUGUUCCCUAGGGGGGAGCGAGGCCCUCCAGGCCCUGCUAUACGAGCCAAAGCCAUUUCCAAGAGGUCUGAGGUUGAUCACAGCCCCAGAGCCAGCUGAUCUGGUUUCCAGCCCUGGACUCCCAGGUGCUAACACCCAACUUCCCACUAUCCAGCGAUGGCUGAGCUUGAGAUGGCAACACCGUCCUUUGUCACAGCAGCCCCUGUCACUUUACACCCCGAGUUGUGUGCUGGAGUCCGCAUGAUGUGGGAAGGUCCAUGUGUAGCACAUGGACAUGUCCUCCCUGAGGUCCCUGGGAAUGAUAUGGAGCAAAGAUCUAUGCUACAGAAUUGCAUUUAACCCAGAGGCUCAGAGGAGAUGGCAGGAAGUUUGCCAUCCGCUACUUUGAAGGGAAGUCAACGAGCAGGGCCACAAAGCUUACUGCUUCCAGCUGAUAGAUGUAGGAAUUAAAGGACAUUUCUAGUCAGGUCAGCAGGUAGAAUAUGCAAGUGGAAGGAGAGACUAGAAACAUAUCUUCAUUUUUAUAAAGGAAUGUACCAAUGUCUUGCUCUACUACAGUCUCAUAUAAAGUUAUCAUUAAGUAAUUCCUCUUUAAUGCAUCAUUCCCAGCAGUGGUUAUAAUAUGAUUAUCAAAAAACACAUUUUUCUGAUCCUUGCCAGAGUGCUUCGUAAAAUCUGGGCUUUGGCAGUAAGUUAUGCUCUGAAACUAUUAAACAAGUAGCAAGUGAAAAAUGAUGUCAGUAUUCCUAGCACUUAAUAUGCAAUGCAAAUAUUCCUGUUGAUUGUUCUCUCUCUGUAUGUAGCACAUCUUCACAGCCAGAGCUCUUUUUUUAUAAACAAAGUGAAGCAAGGAGACACUUGUUUUCAUAAGGGAUCAUAACACUAAGAGUGCUUAUGUAAUAAAUCGUCCUGUCAAAAUGGAAAACACAGAAAAUGAAGCUCUGUUUUCAUCACCUCUGGUUUCUUUCCAUGCAAAUAUAGAUCAGGUUGCUGAUCUUGGAGCUCUGUUAGCCUAUGGAAUGCUGUAGUGGAAAUGCUAAGUCACACCUUGAAUCAGUGAUUGAGCACUUGGUGGGAAGGCAGGGCCAACCCAGGGGAGCUCAGGUGCAUGCAGUGCAGCUGAGUGACUGGAAGGGUGCAGCCAGGAUCCACCCCUUCCCAGAGCUCAUUUAAGGGUUGGCAGUGGAAAUGGGCGUGUGGUCUUUCUGGAGAUCUCUGCAUACCUGAGGACUUCUGAAGGUAAGCAGCUUCUUUCCUUUAUCUGUAUGCCCGCAGCUGUUCAUUUGGGUGAAUUCUCACUUGCUGCAGCCUAGGGCCUUGCUGCUCUGCUGUCACUGCUCUGCUUUCCAUCACGUUACAAAUGUUCUUCUAAAACAGAUCGUGUGUUUUCCUCCUUUGCAGUAUGUAUGAUUCAGGCACCAAGCUGAGUAAGUGCCUGUUGUGUUUAAAAUGCAGCUCUGGUUUUAUGUAGAUAUUUCCUAAUUUGUGUAUUUACUUGUGACAGGGAAGUCAUUUCAUUUACUCUCAUAUGAAUAAAACACACUUUCACAGCUCACAAAGCCCACAGAAGUUGUUUCCCCCUGCAUGUACAACUGAUAACACUCUGACCCUCUGGGGGGCACAUCUCCCCCUUCAUUUGCUUCUCAAUGACUGUUGCUUUUCUUCACUUGCCCACGUCAUGAGUGACGUACAGUCAGUACUUAGGCCAGCGGGAGUGACGCAUUCAUAGAAGGCAGCCAGCAACAUCUCCUGCUUGCUGGUUCUGCCAGUGCCAAUGGCACCAUUAAGGAAGGCUGCUGCGAGGAGCUCUAUGGAAACACAACACAGCCCCAGGACUUCGACCCUUUCCCAUACAUUGCUGCCACUGCUACAAUGGCCUUAUUGUGUAAUCUGGGAAAGAGUUACCUCAGUGCUACGGAAACAUAUUCCAUAGAAAUGUGGAAACCUUCUAAUUUGGAAACACACAACCUCACCCUGCUGUGUUGGAAAAAUACCUGCAAGUUAAAACUUAUUUGGUGGCCAAAAUAAGACAGUCGGGAAAACCUAAUGGAGUAUCAACUAGAAUUGCUUAACAAAAUAGGUUAAGGAGACUUCUAAACAGAGGGGCAUUGCCAAUACUGACAGGUAUGCAAUCUUGGACUUGUUAGCUUUUCACUGGAUUCCUGUAAGACAUGGCUAACUAGAAAACAAGUUAAGAAAAAGUAGGUUUGAUGCCAUACAUGAAAAGGUAAAAAGUUUAGCGAGAAACUCUCUAGGGAGCUAUUCUGAGGCAGAGAGAAGAAAGGAUGAGUGUUUCAGGUGUGGAACAGCCUUCUGUAUUGGAAUGUUUGUACCAGUCCCUUCUUUUUGCUUUUUCAUUUCUAUUUCAGACAAAAUCAUAUUAAUGAAAUACUCCAUGACUUCAGUGGUGUUUCAUACCUACUUGUUGUUUUGGGGCUAGUUUGGCUCAUAGAUCAGAGUAGGAAUUGGUGGUCAAUAAUCCUGUUUACGUAAACUGCCUGUAGAUUUUUCUGAACUGCCUCUAAAGAAAACAGCUAUCAAAAGUAUUUAUUUUUAAAUCCUUCCUCACACAAUAGGAGCAAUAAUAGCAUCUCACUAUUUCCAUAAUCAAUAAUCUGCCCCUCAAGUUGGGAGAAGCUGUGGAACUUUGGCUUAGCUCCCUUCUUAGAAGCUACAUUGCACAGCACUGCUAUUUCAAGCACUGCACUGCAGCAUCCCCCUCUGAGCCUUUUGUUUCUUGAGUUGAACCAUCAUUCUUCCACAGAUUCACCUUCAUUCAGCCAUGCCCUCUUCAUUCAUCCAGCUGGAAAUACCUGAGCAACUUUUUUCAUCUGUGAAGAUGCAUGGUUUUGUGUCCCAAGUUCGGAGUUUGCAGUUUAUCUCACCUGCUUAUUUCUAUAAAUGUUUGAAAGAAAAAAACAGGUUGUACUCCACCUCUGCAGCAAGAACUAACCUAGGCUGUAAGAACAGCCAUACCCCAUAAUGAAUAAUGACUCUUUGGGUACAAGCCAAAAUGCGCAUAAAAUGCAAGUGUACCAAGCAAGAAACCAAGGCCAAAAUCCUAAACAGAUGUCAAGAUUCCCUAAAUGUGUGAGAUUUCACACCAUAAUCACCAACAUUUUGGUGGCGAUUGAUGAGAUGUUUGUCAAACCAAGGUAAGCCUAAUGUAAAUGCAGGUAGGGUACCACAUGCUAGAGGAAAAGACAAAGAGGGACAUGCAUCUGGCUCUGUAGGCAGCUAAUUGCUUCUAUGGUUACUACAAUCCUUCCAAUAACAGUUCUGAAGGACAAAGUAUCACCACAGCCUAAUGUCCUAAUGUCUUUUCUGUAUUGAUCUGCAAAGCACUUAACUGAGCAAAUGGGACAAGCUCAAUCUUUCUAAGCUGAGAAGUUCUACUGCAAUAUUAAAUAUAUAUAUAUAUAUAUAUAUGUUUAAGCAAUUAAAAAGACAGUGUAUUGCUACUUAGGGGGCUCUCUCUCUGUCUAAACAUGACACAGGAAACAGGAUAGUAGAGUUGUCAGAAUGGUCAGCCAUUCCUCACUAUUCUAAGACCUUCCUCCUAACCAUGGUCAUUGAAAUGAGCACUGGCCCCAUGGUUAUAUCUGAAGUUUAGAGUUUGAUUCUUUGGGUAUAUUCAAGGAGAUGUUAUGCCACAUUCUGGUAAUGAAAAUGUUGGACUACAGUGUGUAGUUUUGGAGGUCUUUGGGGUUUGUUUUCUUUGUUUAGAUGGAUUAAUUCCUACUUGUCUGCAAACCCAGUUAAUUCCAAGUUGAUUCACAGCUGGAUGAUAACAUAACAGUCUCUUUUAGCCCAAGUCAUUAUAGAUCACUGUUACAGUAAGAGGAACCUCCAUAAUCUCCAACUAAGUGCGUGCCAAGUUGCUCUUUGUAUCUCUAAUUUCUCCCAUAAAAUAAUCAGAUCCUGUAUCUAGAUGGGACAAAGAUCAACCUUUGGCCAGGCAGCAGGCCUUCCAAGCUGUAGAAUUAAAAUUCUAAACUGUGAUACACUGUUGGAUACGGUCAUGUAUCUUCCUGCACGGCUACCUCCGGCAACUGAACUCACUACCUGUCCCAAUCAGUGGCACCAGUUCUCAGUGGCUCCUUGUGAUGAGAUAAAGCUUUUUUUCAUACUUCAUAGCUCCAAAACCUCCAUCGUAUCACAAACAGCAAUACACCUCACUCUGUCUCUUCCACUUUCACAAAAGCUUCCAGUCUCCCUACUGUGAUAGUGUACAGUGAGUUGCACGUGGAAAUCUGCUUUCUGCAACACCCAGAAGCCCUGUUCUCCUUGGGGAUGGCACUAGCACCCUCUGCUGUUGUACGGGAGCACCAACGUCAGCUGAAACCCAGUGCCAGCCCUGAGCGCAGGGCAUCCCAGGGGCAGCCCUAGAGAUCCUUUGCUGAAGGCCCUGAGCCACAGAACCUCAGUUACACUCUUGGCAACGUGACCUUGCAGUGACUUUGAGGCAGCUUAUUUCCAAAAGCAGUGAUUUUGUUUGUAAAUAAUCGUGCUGGUUUGGGUUUUUUUAAAACCAUGCAGAAUGAGCUUACUAUGGUAAUCUGUGCUCAUUCAUCACCUACAGUCUACAAGUGGGCAAUGGGAAGUCAGAGACUCACAAAUGCAACAGUCAGCUUUUAUAAACGUAUCAAUAAAUCACCAAUGAUUCAAUGUUGAUAUUAAAACCUCAUCUUGUGGUUAGAUGGGUCUAGUUCGUGUUUCUUCCUCUCCAUGCUUUUUGUCCUCUUGGCUGCAGAAAGGAACUGGAAUAAAAUAACUUCAGAAACCCAGAAGGCAAGUAAAUACCAAAUGCAGCAUCACGUGAUUCUCAUGUUCCUUCCUUCUUUCUUAAAGCAACCCUGAGCAGUCUUCCAGUGGCUGAGUUUUUUACCCAACUCUGCUUCCGUUUAAGUCAGUGGCGGAACUCCCACUGAGACCAUUGUGAACCGGAUUUUGCCUUUGAAACAACAUCCUUACAUCACAGAUUAGAGAAGGCUUGGAGGUGGCUUCCCAACACCUGCUGGCUUCUGAUCCUCCUUCACUGCAGCAGAAGCAGUGGGAGCAGCUGAGGGGAGCAGCUUUGGAGACUCAGCACGGCUUUCACUCUGGUACUUCAGUAAAGAA